rnacentral:rRNA from 1 species
AUUGAACGCUGGCGGCAUGCCUUACACAUGCAAGUCGAACGGCAGCAUGAUCUAGCUUGCUAGAUUGAUGGCGAGUGGCGAACGGGUGAGUAAUACAUCGGAACGUGCCCUGUAGUGGGGGAUAACUAGUCGAAAGAUUAGCUAAUACCGCAUACGACCUGAGGGUGAAAGUGGGGGACUGCAAGGCCUCAUGCUAUAGGAGCGGCCGAUGUCUGAUUAGCUAGUUGGUGAGGUAAAGGCUCACCAAGGCGACGAUCAGUAGCUGGUCUGAGAGGACGAUCAGCCACACUGGGACUGAGACACGGCCCAGACUCCUACGGGAGGCAGCAGUGGGGAAUUUUGGACAAUGGGCGAAAGCCUGAUCCAGCAAUGCCGCGUGUGUGAAGAAGGCCUUCGGGUUGUAAAGCACUUUUGUCCGGAAAGAAAUGGCUCUGGUUAAUACCUGGGGUCGAUGACGGUACCGGAAGAAUAAGGACCGGCUAACUACGUG